GACGAACGCUGGCGGCGUGCCUAAUACAUGCGAGUAGAACGCACAGUUUAUACCGUAGCUUGCUCCACCAUAGACUGUGAGUUGCGAACGGGUGAGUAACGCGUAGGUAACCUGCCUGGUAGCGGGGGAUAACUAUUGGAAACGAUAGCUAAUACCGCAUAAUAUUGAUUAUUGCAUGAUAAUUGAUUGAAAGAUGCUAUUGCAUCACUACCAGAUGGACCUGCGUUGUAUUAGCUAGUAGGUGAGGUAACGGCGCACCUAGGCGACGAUACAUAGCCGACCUGAGAGGGUGAUCGGCCACACUGGGACGGAGACACGGCCCAGACUCCUACGGGAGGCAGCAGUAGGGAAUCUUCGGCAAUGGACGAAAGUCUGACCGAGCAACGCCGCGGGAGUGAAGAAGGUUUUCGGAUCGUAAAGCUCUGUUGUAAGAGAAGAACGGGUGUGAGAGUGGAAAGUUCACACUGUGACGGUAUCUUACCAGAAAGGGACGGCUAACUACGUG
rnacentral:rRNA from 1 species